rnacentral:rRNA from 1 species
CCUACGGGAGGCAGCAGUGAGGAAUAUUGGUCAAUGGGCGCGAGCCUGAACCAGCCAAGUAGCGUGAGGGAAGACGGUCCUAUGGGUUGUAAACCUCUUUUGUCGAGGAACAAAGUGAGCCACGCGUGCCGUUCCGAGAGUACCCGAAGAAAAAGCAUCGGCUAACUCCGUGCCAGCAGCCGCGGUAAUACGGAGGAUGCGAGCGUUAUCCGGAUUUAUUGGGUUUAAAGGGUGCGCAGGGGGUAGAUCAAGGCAGUGGUAAAAUUGAGAGGCUCAACCUCUGAGAGCCGUUGAUAAUGGCUUUCUUGAGUGAGGGAGAAGUAUGCGGAAUUCGUGGUGUAGCGGUGAAAGGCAUAGAUAUCACGCAGAACUCCGAUUGCGAAGGCAGCAUACUGGCGUUCAACUGACGCUGAUGCACGAAAGUGUGGGUAUCGAACAGGAUUAGAUACCCUAGUAGUC